GUAGGUGAACCUGCGGAAGGAUCAUUACCUUUCAGUACAGAAGCGUUGUGUUGGUUGAGUUGUGCCGGUUGAGUCUCGCCGAGAGGUGGGACUCCUGGUGGCAACUCCCUUCACAAUUCUCCCUGUCUAUCAUCCUUGUCUUUUGCGUACUAUUGUUUCCUCGGUGGGCUUGCCUGCCGGUUGGACAACCUUAUAACCUAUUUAAUUUUCAAUCAGCGUCUGAAAUAAUAUAAUAAUUACAACUUUCAACAACGGAUCUCUUGGCUCUC
rnacentral:misc_RNA from 1 species